rnacentral:tRNA from 2 species
GGCUAGAUGGCCGAGUGGUUAUGGCGUGUGACUCAAGAUUCUUCUUCACCAUUGAUAAAUGGCUUCUCAUGGGGCAACCCGCGGGGGUUCGAAUCCCCCUCUAGUCA